GACGAACGCUGGCGGCGUGCUUAACACAUGCAAGUCGAACGGAAAGGCCCUGCUUUUGUGGGGUGCUCGAGUGGCGAACGGGUGCGUAACACGUGAGUAACCUGCCCUUGACUUUGGGAUAACUUCAGGAAACUGGGGCUAAUACCGGAUAGGAGCUCCUGCUGCAUGGUGGGGGUUGGAAAGUUUCGGCGGUUGGGGAUGAACUCGCGGCUUAUCAGCUUGUUGGUGGGGUAGUGGCUUACCAAGGCUUUGACGGGUAGCCGGCCUGAGAGGGUGACCGGCCACAUUGGGACUGAGAUACGGCCCAGACUCCUACGGGAGGCAGCAGUGGGGAAUAUUGCACAAUGGGCGGAAGCCUGAUGCAGCAACGCCGCGUGCGGGAUGACGGCCUUCGGGUUGUAAACCGCUUUCGCCUGUGACGAAGCGUGAGUGACGGUAAUGGGUAAAGAAGCACCGGCUAACUACGUG
rnacentral:rRNA from 1 species